GUUCUUGGUCGCUUAACUCAGGGACAAAGCCUUUGAGGAAGGAAAAGCAAAUUUAAGGUUAUAAUUCAGUCCCGGGAGCACUGAACAUAGAUAUAUAAUUAGACAGGAAAAAAAAAAUCAAGGCAGCCUUGUGUUUAUUGCACUGGCUCCAUCUCCUGUGCUUUUGGCACUGUGUGUUUCCAGCUGAGCUCUAGCCAGUUGACUGGGUGGUUAAAUAUCCUUCAGCAGGAUAAACAGCUGAGGAAGCCCUGCUGCUCACUCACACAGAGCCUUUGGUGGGUGCUCAGUCCUCAGGAGGACCGGUUUUGAUGACCUAGUCUGAUUACAGCAUCUUUGACAGCUUUAAAGGAAUUUGCCCUGGGGAAGAAGACAGCUGCUGCCCUGAUGAGGGAUUUUUCUGAGCAGGCCUCCCAAGCCAGACAUGUCAGUGUGAGAUGCUGCCUACAUUUUUCAUCCUGACCAGCAGAGAUUUCCUGAAUAACUUCUGUGGAACACCUGCAGGACACAGCAGAGAGGGGAUUUUGGAAGCAUUUCACAAGGCCUGCAGCUGUGAGCUGGUUUCAGCAUGAGGAAAAGCCUUCCAUCACCCCAAUGCACAGGAAAGAGAAGACAGAUGACAGCAGCUCUCCUCCUUCCAUACUGAGGAAAAGGCCACCUGUGGACCAAGCUGUGGGGGAAAAGCGGAGGGCAGAGCGAAGGGUUCGAUUUCGUGAGCCAGAGGAAGUCAUUGAACACGUCAUUUCCUGCUGUGACUACGUAGUGGCAGAUGACAGGACAUCAUCUGGAUUGCCUGUGCUCCUGUGGCUCUUGUUUUGUGCAGUGCUGAUCCUUGCUGUGAGUCUCUACUACACCAGCAUGAAGCAAGAUGUCACAGUCCUGGAGGAAUUUCAAUCCCGAAUUGUCAUCUUCUUUCUUCAUAUAAGACACGUUGCUCAGAGGUGCUGGACUUGGUUUCUGAGGCAGUAGCAGUGUCCUCCAGCCUGACACUGCUGAGAAACUUCAAUGCAAAGCUCCCAGCAAUACUGCAGCCACAUGCAAAAAUACAUGAGCAUCCACCUCAAAGAGCAAGGAAAUCACCCCUGCUGUGCUCCAUCCAGCAAACACUUGUUCUCCUUUCUCCUUCUUGAUUGUUUUCCUUUGUUUCACAUCAAUGAACAUUCAUACUAAUGCCUUGAGGUCCCACCAAACUUAUGCUCCAUCACCCUGAACAGCAAACAAGUAUCUGGAUUUGGUUACCCAGAGUUUAUAAGCUGCUGAUAUGAGGAGCAAAAGCAGAGAGAGAAAUACAUCAAUCUAUGCAGGCAGCAUCAAACUCAGAAGAAAAGUCUUGUGAGUCUUGGGUCGAGACUUUAGAUACCAAACCAUCUUUCUCCUCAAGUCUCCAAAGAAUUAUUCUGCAAAGGUUAAAAUAAAGCUGAGCUAUUGCACA
rnacentral:lncRNA from 1 species